rnacentral:lncRNA from 1 species
AGGGUCUAGUUUAUCAAUCUUCUAUAAGCAGGUUCCCUAGCUUUUCAAAGUCAGUGCUGAAGUCGGGCCUCAAAUCCAGGCUCCGGCCAUCCCUGGUACUUCUACUUUACUGGCUUCUCCUUUAUCCUACUUAGUCUAACAAAGCUCAGUGUCUCUUUGUUCUGUACCAGACAGAAUUUGUCUACUUCAGUUUUACCUACAUACCUCUUUAACUGUGUAAAUGUAGAGGUGGGGAAAUGCUGUGCAGGUUUAUAGGAAACAUAUCUGUAAAGCUUCCCUUUCCAGAUACUCUUAAGACUUUAUUUUCUGUUUGUGUAUCUGGGGGUUAUGCCACAUAUGCAUGCAUGCCCACAGGGGCCAGAAAAAGGGCAUCAGAUCCUCUGGAGCUGGCUAUUACAGGUAGUUGUGCGCUUCCUGAUGUGAAUGCUAGGAACUGGACUUGGGUCCUUCGGAAGAGUAGCAAGCACUAUUACCUAGCUGAGCUAGAGCUGGCUGGGAGAUUAACUGAGCCCAAGCUAUUUUUGCAGAAGACCCAGGUUUGAUUCUCAGUAUUCACCCAGCUGCUCACAAGUAUCUAACUUCCACAGAACCCAGCAUCAUCUGGCCUCUGAAAGUACCAGGUACUUUGUGGUGCUCACACAUUCAGGCAAAACAUAAAUAGACUUAAAGUGACAGUAAUAAUAUCAAACAGCUGAGCCAUCUCUCUGGCAGAUUUUUUUCUUCACACACAUGAGUAUUUCUAUAAAACUAACAUGCCAUGAAAAUCAAUAAAUAACGUUAGUUUACCCCCUCUUGGUGUCUAUGUACUAUUCAUACCAUUGCCCUGGUACUUCUACUUUACUGGCUUCUCCUUUAUUCUACUUAGUCUAACAAAGCUCAGUGUCUCUUUGUUCUGUACCAGACAAAGCGAGUUUGAUCCUUGGGACCCACACAGUGGAAGAAGUUGACUUCCACACGAGUGCUGCCAUGUGCAUGUGUGUACACAAUAAUUUUUAUUGUUUUAGAAGAUUCUGACAUUUUAGGAAUGUCAGAAUCUACCUAUCGCUGUGGAGAUACCUCAGUUUAAUUCCCUGUCACUGGGUACUUGUCUUAGUAAUGCAAACACUGUAAAUCAACAUCUUCAUACUUAUGUCUUUGGUAACUGUUUACUUAGGAUAAAGUCCUAGAGAUGGAAUUAUGAGGUACUGAGGCAUAAGUUUUUAGUUUUUAUUUAAGUUUUUAUUUUAUAUCUUUUGCAAGAAUUUAACCCCUUUUAAGGUGUAUCUGUCACAUCCUGCUUCCACACAAAUUCUUCUGUGUAGCCGCUACCCAGGCUACAGCUCUCAGCACAGGUGAAGACAGCCAAGACACCCCAGUCGAUGCUUCUGCCGAGUCUGUCUGCCUUCAGGUGGUUCAACAGCUGAGGCAUGACCUGGGAAGAGGACAACAUAAGAAGGGCACUUCUGUCUGCUCUGACUUUAUAGCCCCUCUGUUCUGGCAUGUUGAGCCACCUAGAUCAAUUUUUCUAAAAAUAGUAAUUAUUUAAGGCCAUACCUGGAAUUCAAAUAUUCUCUUGGCACCACACGGGCAAUCUGGAAUAUCUUUUUCUUGAGGAAUAUUUUCACCAGAAAUCCAGAUGGGUUUAAUCCCUCUUCCAUACCUGAGAAUCUAAAAAUCAAUAUAUCUCAUCUAAGAAUGUCCAAUAGAACCCUGAUCUGAGGACUGUCUGGAAAAGAUCUACAUGGGCUCCUAUACGCUGCCAACACCCCGAAACCUCAAAGGCCAUUAUUUCACCUGAUUUCCUUAAUAGUGAUAUUCCUUUCCUAAAAUGUCAGAAUCUUCUAAAACAAUAAAAAUUAUUGUGUACACACAUGCACAUGGCAGCACUCAUGUUGAAGUGUAAGUGUGGAAGUCAACUUCUUCUACUGUGUGGGUCCCAAGGAUCAAACUCAGGUUAUCAGGUCCAGCCACAGGCACUGACCCCACACUGGAAUGUCAGCCCUAUCACUACUCUGUACUAACUCAUUACUGGAGUCUGCAUACAAAAUGUGGCAUAAGGUAGCUAAUUAGCACUUGUCUUCAUAUAUAGCCACCAACAUGGGGUUGGUUCAAUUGUUUUAAAAAGUAAAUUCACUAUAAUUGGCUUCAGAGUGUUUUUCCUGUCUUUCAUUUAAGACUUAUCACCAUUUCCAGAAACCACCAUCAAAGCUUCCUGUUAUCCUGGACACUUAGUUGAGCCCGUGUUUUUGGGAAGCUGCCUUUAGUAAUUUUUGUUUACAAUAAAGCAACUUAGGAAAACU